CUGGCGGCGUGCCUAACACAUGCAAGUCGAACGGGAAUCUUCGGAUUCUAGUGGCGGACGGGUGAGUAACGCGUAAGAAUCUAACCUCAGGACGGGGACAACAGUUGGAAACGACUGCUAAUACCCGAUGUGCCGCAAGGUGAAAACUAAUUGGCCUGAAGAAGAGCUUGCGUCUGAUUAGCUAGUUGGUGGGGUAAGAGCCUACCAAGGCGACGAUCAGUAGCUGGUCUGAGAGGAUGAGCAGCCACACUGGGACUGAGACACGGCCCAGACUCCUACGGGAGGCAGCAGUGGGGAAUUUUCCGCAAUGGGCGAAAGCCUGACGGAGCAACGCCGCGUGAGGGAGGAAGGUCUUUGGAUUGUAAACCUCUUUUCUCAAGGAAGAAGUUCUGACGGUACUUGAGGAAUCAGCCUCGGCUAACUCCGUGCCAGCAGCCGCGGUAAUACGGGGGAGGCAAGCGUUAUCCGGAAUUAUUGGGCGUAAAGCGUCCGCAGGUGGUCAGCCAAGUCUGCCGUCAAAUCAGGUUGCUUAACGACCUAAAGGCGGUGGAAACUGGCAGACUAGAGAGCAGUAGGGGUAGCAGGAAUUCCCAGUGUAGCGGUGAAAUGCGUAGAGAUUGGGAAGAACAUCGGUGGCGAAAGCGUGCUACUGGGCUGUAUCUGACACUCAGGGACGAAAGCUAGGGGAGCGAAAGGGAUUAGAUACCCCUGUAGUCCUAGCCGUAAACGAUGGAUACUAGGCGUGGCUUGUAUCGACCCGAGCCGUGCCGAAGCUAACGCGUUAAGUAUC
rnacentral:rRNA from 1 species